CCUACGGGAGGCAGCAGUGGGGAAUAUUGCACAAUGGGGGAAACCCUGAUGCAGCGACGCCGCGUGAAGGAAGAAGUAUUUCGGUAUGUAAACUUCUAUUAGCAGGGAAGAAAAUGACGGUAAAUGACUAAGAAGCCCAGGCUAACUACGUGCCAGCAGCCGCGGUAAUACGUAGGGGGCAAGCGUUAUCCGGAUUUACUGGGUGUAAAGGGAGCGUAGGCGGGUUAGCAAGUCAGAUGUGAAAGACCGGGGCUCAACUCCUGGACUGCUUUUGAAACUGUUGAACUUGAUUGCAGGAGAGGUUAGUGGAAUUCCUAGUGUAGCGGUGAAAUGCGUAGAUAUUAGGAGGAACACCAGUGGCGAAGGCGACUUACUGGGCUGUAAAUGACGCUGAGGCUCGAAAGCGUGGGGAGCAAACAGGAUUAGAUACCCCUGUAGUC
rnacentral:rRNA from 1 species